GCGGGCGUGGCGGAAUUGGCAGACGCGCCAGACUUAGGAUCUGGUGGUAUUACCGUGGGGGUUCAAGUCCCUUCGCCCGCACCA
rnacentral:tRNA from 1 species